ensembl:lncRNA
CUUUGCAAACGGAUACAAAUAUUCGUAUUGAUCCUGAUUGACCAUCUGAUAUCCGAUAUCCGCGUCCGAUAAAUACGGUUGACUCCCUGUCGAAGCGAACGGGAUCUACUGCCUGAGGAAAGGUUGUUCGUCGACCGAAGCCACCAAGGACCCUUGUAGCAUUGAAGACUUCGGGAAAUAAAGCUGACAAUGUUUUGCACCUUGUUAGCUUAAUUCUACAUCCAUGUUAAUUAACCCGUUCAGUAAAGCAUUCCCCGGUUCUGUGAUUCGCUAACCCAGAUCUAGCCAACAUGUUUCGCAACGUUAACAUGAACCAAUGAAAUAAUGAAGGCUCAACUUAUGUUUGUACAAUGAUGGUGCUCAUUUAACAGUCUUUCUGUAAAGUACGCCACAUUAUCAACGUAAUAUAAGCUCUGGAUGCAAUUUAAAAUCUAAAGAAUUAUGAUUAGCAACCAGAAUAUUGUUCAGACAUUUCCCGCUUAAAGUAUCUCACGGUAACCAAUCAGUGAGUUGCUCAUGUUAACCAAUAAGGAACUUUGGCAGGAAAUCGAUGUUUAUACACUGAUAUACAGUAAACUUAUUUAGUAUUUUCUGUUGAAACCUACGCUCACAUGACCAAAUAAGAUAUGUUCAUUUAUAGACGACGUAGCUUGAACAUUAUUACUGUGGUGGCCAGCUUGGGCCGGUCCUAUAUUUGGGGUGGCUCUUCAUUGUCACCGGGGGGAGUAUUUUGAGUUCAAUAUUUAUUCAUAAUGUCAAAAUAUAACACUUUCAAUAAGAAUAAUAAGCCAAAGUUAGAUCAAACUAAUAGUGCAUAUAUUUCAGCCUUCUGGCCCACAUGUGGCUGCGCCCCUGAUGUUGCAUGUUUCCGAUUCGUUUCCUUCUUCCUAGCAGUGUGAACCGGACACAUCACAUCUGCUCGAAUCCGAUCCGUUUCUCAAAACCAGAUAGGGCCAACUCUCUAGAUGCACACCUAAAAGCAAUCCGAAGCCUCUGAAUCCAACGUGGUAAAUCGGAAUCGCCUGAAAACGCUCAGAAUGUUUGUAUCGUCAGUAAAUAGAUUAAUCCUAGCAUAAGGUCAUAGACGGCUAUAUACCAGUACUCUGUUCAAAGCGGUUUGGUCCACAGGUGAUGGUGAAGACGUUCGGUGGCCAGCAGUUGCUCAGUACUCAGUGUAGAUCCUGUGGGGC